rnacentral:ribozyme from 1 species
GGCGUACGCAACUCCUAUUCCUACCUCCUCGUGGUACUGGCCUGGGAACGAGUAACCUUGGGGAACAUCGGGUAACCAACUUUGGUAACUUUGGUCGUAUGCUGACAGGGACGG